AAAGUUUAAAGGUGAAGGAAGACCAACCAAGCUAAAACCCAAUAAAACAAGUGAAAUAUGUAUGGAUUCAUGCAAAGGAAUAUGUGCACACAAAGGAUAGUAAGCUUGUUCUGUAACAGUCAUUCUAAUUUACUUUAGAGAUUUGUCCAACAAAUAAAGUCUAGGGUGCUAGGGAAUUACUAGUUUAAUUUUUAAUAUUUUAUUAUGACCGUUUCCCAGAUUCAUGUAAACUGAAUCAAUCACUAAAAAAAAGUACUACACCACAACUUCACGAUAAAAGUAAGCUAA
rnacentral:misc_RNA from 1 species